rnacentral:rRNA from 1 species
UACAUAGGGAGCAAGCGUUAUCCGGAUUUACUGGGUGUAAAGGGUGCGUAGGCGGGUAAGCAAGUCAGAAGUGAAAUCCAUGGGCUUAACCCAUGAACUGCUUUUGAAACUGUUUAUCUUGAGUGAAGUAGAGGUAGGCGGAAUUCCCGGUGUAGCGGUGAAAUGCGUAGAGAUCGGGAGGAACACCAGUGGCGAAGGCGGCCGCCUGGCCUGUUGCUGACGCUGAGGCACGAAAGCGUGGGGAGCAAAUAGG